CCAGUCUCGAGGUCACCGGGCCUUUCGGAAUUUGCUGAAGAAAGAAAUGCCACUUUCUCCAACACAUUAAGGCUGUUCCUGACUGGCAACGACUGACCUGGUGCACAGCCGGACUUUAAACAUGAUGCCAUAAUCAAAGAUCCUGGCAGCAGAAAGAUCUUUCAUUCGGUGCUUUUUCACUUCCACUAGUUUCUUACUCAUUGGUAUUUUCUGAAAUCUGUCAAGUCAAUGUGAAGAAUUAGGAACUCCGUUGGUAUCGACAUGAAACCUUGUUUGUCUUGAUGCAGAAGACAGAAUGAUAAACGCAUACCCAAGCAACAACAUUUAUACAUACUACAAUUGUUUAAAUGAGGUUAGUUUGUCCACAAAGUCUCUUGCCUUCUCCGAUGUGUCAAAGAGAUGCAUGGAUCCAUCUAAGGUGAUCCGAAGGAUUGCCGGAUAUCUCAGAGCGUACUGAAUCCCAAGCUCCUUCAGUCUUCUCUUGACACCAUCACACGAUUUUCGUUUCUGGAUCACCACCGCUGAAAUGUCCUGAAAAAACAUGAUCUUAGACCCCUCGUAACUUACGGUAAUGAUGGAACCGCACCAGGAAAGGACGAGGGCGUUGACCCAGACCCAACCUCUGCGCUGUGACCCGGACUCAACCAGCUUGGGCAGUAGUGAAGCUGUCAAGCCAUACUUGAUCAUGGACAUUGAAGACUACAUUCUGCCUCCUUGCCACCUAUGGUGCUUCUGCGGAAUGCAUGAGAUUUCAUUAAAUUUAGAGGCAAUGCUGACGACUCCCUGGAGAAAUCACUCCCCAAUGUAUUCCACUUGUAAUGUUAAAAGAUAAAAUUGGACUGUCUCCCUGGAUAUUAAUGUAAUAUUAAAAGGGUUAAACUGCACUGUCUUUCUCCAGAAGCUAAACAUCCUGGAAGUGAGUGAAGACGACAUUCAUGCAGGAAUGCAGAUUAGUCCCACUUCAUUUAGACAGUCAUUUACUACUACAACCCUCCUGGGUAUUAUCAAAUUCAACUCUUAUUCAGCCCCUUCCAUUCUGAAAUACUUUCAUAGCCAUCCCCCAGCCAAUCAGGUUCGCUUGCAUGAUCACCCCCGAUAUUGAAGCAUAUCACACCUACAUUGUCUGGGAAAGUAGCGGAGCGAGAAUCCAUUCGCAGGGCCACCCCGAAGCGAGGACAUAUCACACCUACAUUGUCUUGGGGAAUCAUGGAAUCGGAAAAUUGUCUGCAUAACAAUUCCUCAGGAUUAGGGCAUUUACAUUAUCUCCGAGGAUGACCUCAUCCUACUAUUGUAUCUGAUGUAACGUGAUUAUGGGGGUCAGGGGAUGGCCAGAAUACUUGUAAGCGUUACCAACUGACCUGUAUAAAGAGUAUGAGUUUUCUUUGUUCAGGGCCUCAUUUUGACUCAACUUCACACAACCAGAGCGUCAGAGGGGUCAGCUAGCUUGUACAAGCUUUAAUAAACUUUAA